rnacentral:rRNA from 1 species
AGCGAACGCUGGCGGCAGGCUUAACACAUGCAAGUCGAGCGGGCAUCCUUGUGGUGUCAGCGGCAGACGGGUGAGUAACGCGUGGGAACGUGCCCUUCGGUUCGGAAUAACUCGGGGAAACUUGAGCUAAUACCGGAUACGUGCGAGAGCAGAAAGGUUUAUCUGCCGAAGGAUCGGCCCGCGUCUGAUUAGCUAGUUGGUGAGGUUAUGGCUCACCAAGGCGACGAUCAGUAGCUGGUCUGAGAGGAUGAUCAGCCACACUGGGACUGAGACACGGCCCAGACUCCUACGGGAGGCAGCAGUGGGGAAUAUUGGACAAUGGGGGCAACCCUGAUCCAGCCAUGCCGCGUGAGUGAUGACGGCCUUAGGGUUGUAAAGCUCUUUUCUUCGGGACGAUAAUGACGGUACCGGAGGAAUAAGCCCCGGCUAACUUCGUG